rnacentral:rRNA from 1 species
AUUGAACGCUGGCGGCAUGCCUUACACAUGCAAGUCGAACGGCAGCACGGGUGCUUGCACCUGGUGGCGAGUGGCGAACGGGUGAGUAAUAUAUCGGAACGUACCUUAUUGUGGGGGAUAACGCAGCGAAAGCUGUGCUAAUACCGCAUAAUCCCUAAGGGGGAAAGCGGGGGACCGUAAGGCCUCGCGCAAUUAGAGCGGCCGAUGUCUGAUUAGCUAAUAGGUGAGGUAAAGGCUCACCUAGGCGACGAUCAGUAGCGGGUCUGAGAGGAUGAUCCGCCACACUGGGACUGAGACACGGCCCAGACUCCUACGGGAGGCAGCAGUGGGGAAUUUUGGACAAUGGGCGAAAGCCUGAUCCAGCCAUGCCGCGUGUCUGAAGAAGGCCUUCGGGUUGUAAAGGACUUUUGUCGGGGAGGAAAUCCCCAGCGCUAAUACCGCUGGGGGAUGACAGUACCUGAAGAAUAAGCACCGGCUAACUACGUGCCAGCAGCCGCCGUAA